CAACAAAUUCUCAACUUUACUCUAUUUAAAAGAAAAAACUACUUUUAUCUCUGUUUUAAUUAUUGUUUAAUUCCUUUGUAACCCUUUUUAACUUUGGUAAGGAAAGUAUUAUACAUAUGAAGCUUCUUAUAUUUAAAUUAUAAAUUAUAUUUUUAUGGUAAUAAUGCAGAGUUUUCAGUUGAAUUUAGAGCAUGUAAUUGAUUUUAAAGAAAUAUUUUUAUGUGUUAAAGUGAAUAAGUUCUGAAAAUAACUAAUAUCAGUUUUUCUGUUUUCCAUUACAGCCCCUGAACCACGGAGCCAUAUCAUUAUCCCCAGUGUCGCUGUCAUUGUCACUGUCAUUUUGGUUUUGGUGAUAAUUUACAUAGGAGCAGCUUUUGUUUGACAUCGAAAAAACGGAAAACAUGAAACGAAGGACAAGGAAAAUACACUGUACGAAACUGUUCAGGUCAAAAGCGUGAACCCACUUGUGGAUCAGAAUCCAACCAAUGAUGCUGCAGCUCCUUCUCCGUCCUCCAUCUACAGCUUGAUCGAACUUGGGUCCAUUAAAUCCACUGAGGCCGGAGACACGACUCAGCCUGAGAGCCUGUAUGCUCAGGUGGACAAGUCGGCCCUGGCCUGAAGAAAAUCUGAAAUUGUCUUCCACAUUCUGCCUUUUGGACAAUUUCCAGUAUUAUUGUUGCCGUGAGUCAUGUUAUAUUUUCCUGGGAAGUUUUUUUUUUUU